UACGAAGGGGGCUAGCGUUGCUCGGAAUUACUGGGCGUAAAGCGUGCGUAGACGGUUACAUAAGUCGGGUGUGAAAGCCCCGGGCUCAACCUGGGAAUUGCAUUCGAGACUGCGUAGCUAGGGUGCGAAAGAGGAUCGCGGAAUUCCCGGUGUAGAGGUGAAAUUCGUAGAUAUCGGGAGGAACACCAGUGGCGAAGGCGGCGAUCUGGGUCGAUACUGACGCUGAGGUGCGAAAGCGUGGGGAGCAAACAGG
rnacentral:rRNA from 1 species